CCUACGGGAGGCAGCAGUGAGGAAUAUUGGUCAAUGGGCGCGAGCCUGAACCAGCCAAGUCGCGUGAGGGAGGACGGCCCUACGGGUUGUAAACCUCUUUUGCCGGGGAGCAACGGGCGUCACGUGUGGCGCCACUGAGAGUACCCGGAGAAAAAGCAUCGGCUAACCCCGUGCCAGCAGCCGCGGUAAUACGGAGGAUGCGAGCGUUAUCCGGAUUUAUGGGGUUUAAAGGGUGCGUAGGCGGAUCGUUAAGUCAGGGGUCAAAUUGAAGGGCACAACCCCUACCGGCCAUUGAAACUGGCGCUCUUGGGUGGAAGAGAAGUAGGCGGAAUGGGGGGUGUAGCGGUGAAAUGCAUAGAUAUCACGCAGAACCCCGAUUGCGAAGGCAGCAUGCCGGCUUCCGACUGACGCUGAAGCACGAAAGCGUGGGGAUCGAACAGGAUUAGAUACCCCUUAGUC
rnacentral:rRNA from 1 species